CAUACCACCCUGAACAUGCCCAAUCUCAUCUGUUCUCGGAAGCUAAGCAAGGUCGGGCCUGGUUAGUACUUGGAUGAGAGAUUCAUCUCACCUGAUGUGUUAACCCUAGGCU
rnacentral:rRNA from 1 species